GUUAAAGCGUUGAUGAAGAGUAUUAGGCUAUUUAUUUCUUUAAAGAGAACUUAUGGUUGGUGCAAAUAGGUAAGAAAUAGUUGCUGAACUAGCUUCGGAGUUAUUAUGUGAAAUACGAGUAAUAUAAUACGGUUUACCUCGUUACUGGUAAUUUAAGCGUAUACUUAUUUAAGUAUAAAUUAAGGUGGUACCGCGGUUAUUAAUUAUUAAAUCGUCCUUUAU
rnacentral:ncRNA from 1 species